GUGAACCCAGGUUUCUUGCAUUACAGGCAGAUUCUUUACUAUCUGAGCCACCUGGGAAGCCCAGACUCCAGGAUGCAUGCUUGCAACUAAACUAUGUGUCACUGCUGAUUCUUCUUGGCAGACUGACAUGUGUCCACUGGCGAACAUUCCAAGUUCUACUGGAAACGUGUUCAACUCUGCUCCUUCGAAUCAUGAAAGGAUUUGCAAACUAGUGUUACCAUUUUCUAGUAUAAUACGUGAUUUGGCUUUGCAUUAUUUCACACUUACGAACUGCGCACAAUACUGGAGACACAGUAAGAAACACAAAUGGACACGGUCCCCGAGGGCACUCGGAGUCAGGGAGGAGGAGCAGACAGGAAUUCGGGAAUCACAAACACAAACAGCUCAUGUAGAAUGGAGUUUCUUGAUUUCAGCACUGUUGAAAAUUUGGACUGGAAAAGUCUCUGUGGUGCGGGGCUGGGCUGUCACGCACAUUGGAGGAUGGUUAGCAACGCACCUGGCCUCCAUCCACCAGGACCACAUCCUCUCCCCUACAGGCGACAACCAAACAUGUCUCCAGACACAGCCAAGGGUCCCCCCCAAAGGGGAUCACCAGCUGAGAAGCCCUGGGGUGGAGCCAUCACUUCCUUUUUUAACAACUGCAUAGAAUUCUGUUCUAUGAAUGUACUGUUGUUUAUUCACCUAUUCUUCAGGGCUUUCUAGGUAGCGCUAGUGGUAAAGAACCCGCCCGCCAAUGCAGGAGACGUAAGAGAUGCGGGUUUGACCCCUGGGUUGGGAAGAUCCCCUGGAGAAGGGCAUGGCAACC
rnacentral:lncRNA from 1 species